rnacentral:rRNA from 1 species
UACGGAGGGUGCAAGCGUUAAUCGGAAUUACUGGGCGUAAAGCGUGCGUAGGUGGUUCGUUAAGUCCGUUGUGAAAGCCCCGAGCUCAGCUUGGGAAUUGCAGUGGAUACUGGCGAGCUGGAGUGCGGUAGAGGAAGGUGGAAUUCCCGGUGUAGCGGUGAAAUGCGUAGAGAUCGGGAGGAACAUCAGUGGCGAAGGCGGCCAUCUGGGACAACACUGACGCUGAGGUACGAAAGCGUGGGGAGCAAACAGG